rnacentral:rRNA from 1 species
GAUGAACGCUGGCGGCGUGCCUAAUACAUGCAAGUCGAGCGAACAGACGAGGAGCUUGCUCCUUUGACGUUAGCGGCGGACGGGUGAGUAACACGUGGAUAACCUACCUAUAAGACUGGGAUAACUUCGGGAAACCGGAGCUAAUACCGGAUAACAUGUUGAACCGCAUGGUUCAACAGUGAAAGACGGUCUUGCUGUCACUUAUAGAUGGAUCCGCGCCGCAUUAGCUAGUUGGUAAGGUAACGGCUUACCAAGGCAACGAUGCGUAGCCGACCUGAGAGGGUGAUCGGCCACACUGGAACUGAGACACGGUCCGGACUCCUACGGGAGGCAGCAGUAGGGAAUCUUCCGCAAUGGGCGAAAGCCUGACGGAGCAACGCCGCGUGAGUGAAGAAGGUCUUCGGAUCGUAAAACUCUGUUAUUAGGGAAGAACAAAUGUGUAAGUAACUAUGCACGUCUUGACGGUACCUAAUCAGAAAGCCACGGCUAACUACGUG